rnacentral:rRNA from 1 species
GGAAUAUUGGACAAUGGCCGCAAGGCUGAUCCAGCCAUCCAGCGUGCAGGAAGAAGGCCCUAUGGGUUGUAAACUGCUUUUGUCUGGGAAGAAACCUUUGGAUUGACUCCGAAGCUGACGGUACCUGAUGAAUUCGCACCCGCUAACUUCGUGCCAGCAGCCGCGGGAAUACGGAGGGUGCGAGCGUUAUCCGGAAUUACUGGGUUUAAAGGGUGCGUAGGCGGCGCCGUAAGUCAGGAGUGAAAGUUUGCGGCUCAACCGUAAAAUUGCUUUUGAUACUGCGGUGCUGGAAUUAGGAUGAGGUCAGCGGAAUGUGGCAUGUAGCGGUGAAAUGCAUAGAUAUGCCAUAGAACACCAAUUGCGAAGGCAGCUGGCUAGACCUGGAUUGACGCUGAGGCACGAAAGCGUGGGGAGCGA